rnacentral:rRNA from 1 species
ACGAACGCUGGCGGAUGCUUAACACAUGCAAGUCGAACGGAGUGGCGAACGGGUGAGUAACGCGUGAGCAACCUGCCUAUGACAGUGGGAUAGCCUCGGGAAAACGGGAUUAAUACCGCAUAGUCAUAGAUGGGCUCGCGUCUGAUUAGAUAGUUGGUGAGAUAACAGCUCACCAAGGCGACGAUCAGUAGCCGGUCUGAGAGGAGUAACGUCCACAUGGGAACUGGGAAACAGUCCAAACUCCUACGGGAGGCAGCAGUGGGGAAUAUUGCACAAUGGGGGAAACCCUGAUGCAGCGACGCCGCGUGAACGAAGAAGGUAUGCGUAUCGUAAAGUUCUGUCCUAUGGGAAGCAGUACCAUCGAAGAAAGCUCCGGCUAAAUACGUGCCAGCAGCCGCGGUAAUUC